UUGGCUCCAGCGACUGGUCAGACUGCGUCCAGCUCCGCGGGCGCCCUUCCUGCCUCUGCUCUUUGUGUUUGCUUCUUGCCUCUCCCUCCCACACUUUCUCCUCCUCCUUCAGGUAUCUGCUUACACAUCACGGCCACCAAAGAGGGGACAGUAUUGACACAAAGCUGGACGCCCCUUCUGAGUGUUCCGACUGUGCCCUCUUUUAUACCUGUCAUGGCAUUUAUGUCUCUGUACCGAAACUGCCUGUUCAUCUAUUGUUCCAGUUUACGGUACAUGAUUAUUCAGGGUGGACUCUGUCAUCUUCAUCUUGUGAUUCCAGUGCUUGUCACAGUGCCUUAGUACAUGGUUGCUGAGUAAAUGAAUGAAGGAUGAGAAAACCAGGGGCUCUGAUCCUUAGCCACAAGAGCAGUUAAUUCAACGUGCAGCCCUGGGCAGAGUCUAGAGUACUACUACUGAACUUGAAUCUUAAGUCCUACAGAGUCUCUCGUAGCCUUGAUGGAUGAGUCAAGUCCAAGUCCAGAUCUGGAUUCGAAAGCACGUGAAGAAUAUGUGGAGAUUUGGAAGAAUAAGUGUAUGAUCUGCAAGAUAAAUAGUAAACAUUUACCUGCUGGGCUGUUUGCCUAACAUUGUAUUUACUUCCCGUUAUGUAAGAUACUGGCACUGUUUAUUAAGGGAAAAUACUCUUGCAUUCUGUGUGCGUGAUUAAAUUUGAUGUAGUAUUUUAAACCA